AUACCAUGAUGUGGGGACUUCCUUAACAACUCUUUAAAUCUCUCCCAUGCCUCAUACAAUGAUUCCCCUUGUCUUUGGUAGAAAUUACUAAUUUCCCCUAUCAACUU